UGGUAGGUAGAAGCAAACUAGUAUACUUGU
rnacentral:piRNA from 1 species